UCAUGCUCCCUCAUUGAUCAUUAACCAGCUGCCUUUCGGGUGCUCGCUGCUCGGCUGAUGGAGCCUCUGUUUGCAGGAAGGGGCAGAUCUCCCAGUAUUUCCUAGAUUAUCUCACUUCAUUGGACAAGCCCCAAUGCUGGGGGAGGGGAGGCAGCAGCAGGACCACUUGCCCGUGUUUCUGUCUUUCGUAGAUACAGAAGCAGCUGCACACAGCUGGGGGAAGAGGUUUCACUGACCUCCCUGUAUAAUUGUAUUGCUGUAGCAGCAGAGCUCCCCUGGGGAACGCUAAAAUCCAUUUAAUAUCAUCCUCAGGACAAGCCGACCCUGCUGUGGAUCAGAUCUCAACCAGCAUAUUUUAUAUUUGUUUGAUGGGGGAUUGAUCGGAUGACAGCUGGAACUGUAGUCAUCACAGGAGGAAUCCUAGCGACUGUUAUACUACUGUGUAUUAUUGGGGUUCUGUGCUACUGCAGACUUCAGUAUUACUGCUGUAAGAAAGAAGAGCUUCGUGAGGAGGCAGAGGAGGUUCCAGGUCAGCGAACUCACUCUCACUUUCCUUGCCAUGACUGCUCUUCUGCUCAUCUGGACAGCAUGCCCCAUACUACAGUGCCACCAGCCUACUCCCCAUAUGGGUCUCCAUACUACAUACGAACUGGAGAUAGCAUGUGCAAUGGUAGAGAGAGAUCUCCCUGCACCCCCACCCACUGCACAGAGGCAGGGCCCCUGCUUAUGAUGGCGGGUACACCGAGCUUAUCCAGAGGGUUGCAUGCUUUGAGCACCCAGGUAUGAUGGAGGAAGAGCCCACGGAUCUGAAAACCUUUGGACUUUUAAGCUUUGUCACUGCCAAGGAAAGCAGACUUUAGUGUUCACGUCCACUAAAGAAUGGCUAUUGAAUUUAGAAUUGGCAGUUGCAGGUAGAGAAAUGAAAUGGUGAUGUCAGCAAUUCCACUGCAUAAGUUACAUGCGGCAAAAGAACCAUAUGAGAAAUACUAAUGUGGAUAAUAUGGAGGGAAUUAAAGCUGAUUUGGGGGUAGGAGGGAACUCAUGUAUUCAUUGGCAACACUUGUACAGGAUCACUUUGGAAAUGACAAGUUUAAGCUCUUCUCCCAACCUUUUAUCUUGCUGAAGCAGUUUUAUUAUCACUCUGGAGUAACGGCCAUAUAUUGUAUUUGCUAUUACUAAUUGCCAGUCAUCAGGUUUCUUACAACUCUUAGAAACCAUGGGUUGGCUACUAAACCUUACAGACAAGCUACCCUCCCAUGUGCACAAGUGUAAUCAGUGUCCUUUGUUAUUUAGUAGGUUCUGUUCCCAUAAGGGUUAAAUCAUUGCAGUUUUAGGCUUCCACUGCACAGCAACCCAAGUACAGUAUUAAUAGACUUGAUUCUGCCCCACUGGUCUGUACAAAGAGGAACCAAGACCAGUGCCAAAACCAGAUGCCUGUGUCAUUGGUCUCUGAACCGUGAGUACAGACCCAGGGCUUGUUAAUGUAUUUACACUUCUGGUAGAUCAUCCAUACGAACUACCUGCUCUUUCAUUUCCCAUUAAGUAUUUGGUACUUUUCUGCAUAUUUAAUUGUGUGGGUCCUACUCACCUCAAAUUAUUAAGGCACUAACACAUGGAGGGUGUCACCUGAUGGGAAAUCUCCUCUCCUGUGGACUAUGAAGCACCCAACAAUACCUACCCCUUUACAUAAGUUGGAAUUACCACAUGUAAAACACAUUACUGUGUUAAUUCCAGGUAAUCACUUAGAAUGCCUCCUUCUGUAUUUUAGGCCAAUUUACAUACAGCGAUUCCAACUAAUGUGAAGGAGAAGGUAUUGUCAGGCGCUUCAUUGCCCCCAGGAGAGGAGAAUUCCCACUGGUGAUGAAGCCCUUAGGUCCCAUUCACACUGGUGUUUAGGCCUGUGUUUCCCUGCUGUACCUACAGUACAUGUGUAUGUAUGUAUGAACCCUGGAACUACUGCCACCUCUUGACCAGGCAGUAACUCCAGGGUUCCCUCAGUAUCCUGCGUCAAUCACUGUAGUUCAGUUGCGCUGAAAGAAUCACUCACACACUGGCAACAGAAACGGUGGAACUGUGUAAUUUUGGAAAAUUGUGCACAAUUGCGGUAGGUACAAAGCAGUUGCGUUAAAUGUAUCACCCCUUUGCAGCCGCAAUGACACUGAGAAAAAAUGCUGCAUUUUGGGGAGAAAAUAUGACGAUUGUGUUGAAAUAGCACUUUGCUCACUGCACCGGAGUACUUACAUGUGGCCUAUUAACAGAUGAAGUCCCAUGGGCUGGCCAUUAUUGCUUUAAAAAGUAUACUGAGUGUCAUGUUCCUUACUGAGUAUGCAAAAUAAAUGUACUACUGAGCAGCGACUAUAGAAGUGUUAUGCCAGAAAAUACGUUAACAACAAUUGCCCACUUUUCUUUAUACAGCAUCUUACACCAUAAUGUGUUUUUUAUAUAUCAAAAUGAUAGAGUAACAAUGCAGUCCUCCAAUAAUUAGUGAUGUAUGGAAUGACAAUUUUAACACCAAAGUGUACAAGUUUUUGUCCAUGAAACUGGAGUGACUUUUUGUGAAUUUGACAAUUUUAGGCCAUUCAUCUUUAUAACUCCAGUUUUACUUUACUCCACCUUUGUGCAUACCUUAAUUGAUAAGCAGGGGGACCCCCUCAUGGAUUAUCUGGGCAGGAAAAUAAUAUAAAUCAUGGUCAUAAAACUUGUAACCACCUGCUGUUAAACUAAAACUCCCAGAAGCCUCUCCCACUUCUCGUAAAUGCUGGGCAUUCACAGUAGCUUAGGAGCCACAGAUUGGUCACUCCUGAUAUUCAGACCAUACUCUAUGAUACUUUACUAACAGUGUCAUGCUAUAUAUGUCAUUUAUACUUAUUGCAUUACCAUUUUGUUUUCAGCAGAGGAAAUUUGGCAGUGGUUGCCCCAUGUUACAUCCCUCUCUGCCUGACCCUAACACUUGGGUAAUUUCUCCAGCCUCAUAUAGCAUAUGUAUGUUAAAGUGAGAGUUUACAGGUGACUGAUGGCACAUUCAUGGCCACUUCAAGUAUAUGCUCCCUAAAUAUUUUUCUAUUCUCAUUGUUUUCCAUAGUACAAACGGCAAAAUAUUUUUAUAUUUUUGAAUGAAAGGGCUGCCAUUUUGCGCUACUCUUCUAGUCUUGUUUAGGGUCAUUUCAAACACACAGCCUAUACUUUUGUAUACAGUUGGCCCGCACCAGACUUGGAUGCCACUACAGGACACAUACUGCUAAUCUACAAAUGCAAAAAAAACACAUUCAGAGCAUUACAUCGCUCACAUUGAUUCUAAUUACUAAGGCACUUUUUAUGUCUAUAUACGCACUGUUCCAGCUUGCAGUGAGACACUGCAUGAAUUGCACACAUGGAACCCCGCAGCUCCUGAUUUUGGGGUUCCCUCAGUGGCUAUCAUCCAUACUGACUUGUGGUAAGCUAAUGUCAUUAGUGACAAUGCAUGUUUGGUGCAGCAUUAAUCACUCCUUUCACUCUAUGAAAACUGUGGAUGGCAACAUGUGCGCAGCUGUCCAAACGGCUGCUAAUUGUGUAUUGGUGCUUUGUAUACAAGUAGCAGUGGAAAUUACUGAAUUUCUGAAUGAGCCUUAAUAUGUUCUAAAAUACAUUAGAAGCAUGUAAGACUACAUAGCCAAGCCUAGUAACAGUACCACAGGGCUGGGUUCAGGGCCCUCAGUCUCAGCGUGGAUCCUAAAAAAUGCUCAGCCUAUCUGUCUGUGUAAUUUUACCCUUAACAUAUAAGCACAAUAGACUCUAUAGUACUUGUAUGUUACUGGACAUUGGAGCUGGCAAUCCCAAACCACUAUGCGAGGAGCAUCCUAAUUCUCUUGGGUAAUUCUGGGGGUUGCCUUCCUAUAUUUUUUCUCUAUUACCAUGAAAUAACAUUGGCACCAAGCUUUCUUUUUACUGGCCAAGCAGGUAAAAUUCUGGUUAGGUGGCAACCCAAGUUGGACAUCUGUGAUAUGUUGGUGUAGUAGUUCUUAUUGUAACCACUGCUCCCUUACUGUGAAUCAGUAAAUCAGAAUAUAAUAUGACUUGGUAACAAAGUUCCUUUUACUGGUGUGCAAGCAUACAGACUGUGGGUUAGACAAACUGGGAAAGUGAGUAAGAAUACAUGCAUGCCUAUGGUCACACCAAUAAUAUCCAAGCAUUUAGGCUGCAUGGGUGCACUUUUACUUAAUAGUCAGCUCUAAUAGAGAGCCUUCAGCCAGACAAUGUUUUUCAAAUAUUUUAUGAAAUAAGUACAUUUAUGGCCUAGUCCUCUGAGGUGUCAACCAAUCUGCAUGGCAGUCAAACUUAAAGAGCUGUUUUCACGUUCCUAUGCUGGUAUUGGUUGUGAGUAUCACACAGUCUCCUAUUAGCAACCUGCCACUCUUGUUACACCUGGAAACUGCAACUGACUCAAAUCUUGUUCCACUUCAGCUCCCUUCUGCCCCCUGCAGAGCAAAAUGGAAUCGUAAGAAGUGGGGUCUUGGGAACAGUCAAUACUUGGGAGGGAGGCAAUUGUUCAGCAGCAGCCAUAGCAGCAGAUAAUUUGUAUCUUUUUCUGGUUAUUGUCUUUGUUUAAUUCCAAAUGUAUUGAAAGCAAGCUGGUUCAUAACACCAAUAUUAAUAUUUAUGCCAUUUCGUACAAUAAAGUAAUUACUAUGAACAA